rnacentral:lncRNA from 1 species
GUUGUGGACAAGUGAUACAGGCCACUUCCUUUUGGAAGGGCUUUAUUACUUGAGAGUAGGACAUUGAGAGCCCUGUCUGGGGUUGUUUAGCUGUCAUAGGGUCAUAAGAUCACAAAACUUAAGAGAUUGACCUUCAGUUUGGAGAGUGGAGGGAAAGUUGUUACAUGAGGUUGAAGGCCAGACUCUGACAUCACUCAGAGUUCAAAUGGUCCUUGGUGCGGACAGAUACUUGUUGGUGUAGAUGGUUGGGUUGGAUAGUCCUGCCACAAUGCUAUCUCCAUCUUAGUGGCUUCUAAUCUAGAAGCUAGAAAUCUUACUGAAAGAAAAUUUGAGACAAACCAAAGACACUGCAGAUUUAAAAUGAGAAAUAGAUUGUGAGCAGGAAUAAGAAUUUUUAAGCACAGUGGUUAAAGUGGGAAACUUUAACCCACCAGGAGGUUUGAGGACAGGCAGGAAGUAUGACAAUAGUGACUGAGGACUAGGAGAAAUGACAGAAAUGUAGAAGUAAGGGGUUCACAAUGUGAGGUAAGGACCUCAGAUUUUGGUUUCCUAUUAAAGUCUUGGGGUGUGUGAUAUAUGUUGCACCAAACUUUUACUGAAUGAAUGAACAUUAAGUCCGCUCAUGUCUCCCAGGAACUAGCUCUUCAAUCCUUUAUAGGUUGAGUGCUAUAAGCUUUCCUCAGAUGAAUCCACAGUGGCCAGCCUUGUAAUGACUAUGGUUGGAGGGAUGAGCAGACCUGACAGGAGCUGAGACAUCUCCCAUGGUCCUGCAUCCUGAUGAAGAAAUUAAAGAUAAACUUAAUGUGCUGGUUUAAUAACUGGGGGUUAUCCUGAAAAGGUGGAGUUGAAGUUUCAUCUGUGUUUCUGGCAGUAUUCAGUGAAAGCCUUGAGCAUCUCCUUCAUUCAUAUACUGAGACAUAAGACUUUCUGCAUCUCAUAAGAGGUUGGUGUGGAGGAAAAGACCACAGGCUUCACACAGGUUGAUAGAUGUGGAGUUGAGAUUACUAGGAUCAUAAAUGAGGAUUAAUUUCUUCAAAGGGUGGAUGACAUAGAGUAAGGAAUGCUCAGGAGCAUAAAAUGGCUUUGUUAGGAUGUAGAGGAUUUAACAACUUAAGUUCUCGAGCUGAACUGGGUCCUGAUGAGAAUCCUGGUGGCAACUGAUAGAUUUGUAAUUUCAUAUUAUUUGUAGCUAUAUUUUUGGGUGGGUAUUUAAGACUAUGUGGCUGGCCACCUGCUUCCUUGUGUUGUUGACAGUUGUAUCUCCUUAGUGGUCACUUUCAGGGCUGUUGGAAAAUUUUACAGGCCCCUUGUCUUUGGUUUUCCUCCACUCACCAUCUUCUGGACAAGGGAAUUUCUCUGUGAAAUGACCCAAAGCUCAAACUCUGGGGUCUCCACGUCCUCUCUGAAGCUGUCAUAUCCUUUUAGAGCUAUUCCACUCUCUUCUACACUGGAACACUGCCAACCUGGAGGUAAAGGUGAAAAUCCUGGCUGUCAUCCCAGCCCUUGAUUCUCAUUGCUUUAGGCCUCCAGUAGUACCUAUUGAAAACUCAGAGAGUAAGUUACACCAGACGUGAAGAACAAAGGGUGGUUUUAAUCUUCUACAUACCUUCAUGAGUGACCAGCCCAGGAUACAUAUGUAUGUGGCCAAAUCAAAUUCAGUGUCUUCCAUAAAAUAUUAUAAGGCAGUUUUGCAAGUAUUUUUAGGUAAUUGAAUUGUAUGGUUUUCAAGCACGAGUUAGAAGAUCACUUUGUGUCACAAGAUCAAAAGAUUAGGGACUUAUGAUGAGGAAAUGUAGAAAAAAAACAGAUUUCAAUUCAAUCUUGACUAAUAUAAGAUUGCAUUGUUAAUAAGUUAAAGUUGUGACAAACUCAGAAGAACUUACUGAUCAUACAUGUAAUUAAAUAGCUAUAUGUUUUUUAUCCUAUACCAUUUUAAUUUAAGUGGCAAAAUGUCUGAGGUAUUUUGAGUUUCACUGUCUUUUAGCAAUCAUUUAGGGUGAAAUUAAUUUAUGAUUCAAAUCCUUCUUACCAAGAAGUAUAUUCUCUCCAUCGGAAAUUCAUUGCUUUGCCUACAUACAACCAUUAGCACACUUUUUGGCUGCUUCCUUCCUUUGCUAGACUGCUGACAUAAUUUAGGCUUCUUUUUUUCCUGGAAGGUUUAAAGUCCUGAACACAGGAAACCUCAUCAUGUUUUGUAUGUUACAAAAUGGGUUUAGAUGUACAAUAUUAUCAACAUUGUUAUUGGUUUAUGGCUUUUUGACACCUAGCUUCAAUAACCUAGCGACAUUGUUUGUAUAAUGCCGAUAUUUGCUUUUUCUUCCCAAAUUUAAAACAAUCUAAUGUGUUACAUUUGCUUUUAUCUCAUGAAUUAAAACAAAUUUCCACU